CGUAUCACCCAAGACAACUUUACGGAGUUGACGAUUGACGGAGCGAAGCGACGUCAAAGCGUUCAUUAAAGUCGAGUUGGCUUAGGGAUACGUUCGUUGGGUAGGGGAGCGUUCUGUAAGCCUGUGAAGGUGUGUCGUGAGGCAUGCUGGAGGUAUCAGAAGUGCGAAUGCUGACAUAAGUAACGAUAAAGCGGGUGAAAAGCCCGCUCGCCGGAAGACCAAGGGUUCCUGUCCAACGUUAAUCGGGGCAGGGUGAGUCGACCCCUAAGGCGAGGCCGAAAGGCGUAGUCGAUGGGAAACGGGUUAAUAUUCCCGUACUUGGUGUUACUGCGAAGGGGGGACGGAGAAGGCUAUGUUGGCCGGGCGACGGUUGUCCCGGUUUAAGCGUGUAGGUGUGUGUUCCAGGUAAAUCCGGUUCACUUUAACACUGAGGCGUGACGACGAGGCACUACGGUGCUGAAGCAACAAAUGCCCUGCUUCCAGGAA
rnacentral:rRNA from 1 species